GACGAACGCUGGCGGCGUGCCUAAUACAUGCAAGUAGGACGCAGUUGCGAACGGGUGAGUAACGCGUAGGUAACUGCCUAUUAGAGGGGGAUAACUAUUGGAAACGAUAGCUAAUACCGCAUACUAGUAGAUGGACCUGCGUUGUAUUAGCUAGUAGGUAGGGUAAUGGCCUACCUAGGCGACGAUCCGUAACUGGACUGAGAGGAUGAUCAGCCACACUGGAACUGAGACACGGACCAGACUACUACGGGAGGCAGCAGUGGGGAAUAUUGGACAAUGGGCGAAAGCAUGAUCCAGCCAUGCCGAGUGAGUGAAGAAGGUUUGCGGAUCGGAAAGCUCUGUUGUUAGAGAAGCGGUAUCUAACCAGAAAGCAACGGCUAACUACGUGCCAGCAGCCGCGGUAAUU
rnacentral:rRNA from 1 species